AAAAAAAAAAACCUCAACAAACACUCUCCUUCCCUUACAGUGGCUUUUCUGGUUACCCAUUUGCUUGAUUGCGGUAAACCUUUGACUGUGAGUUUGAUCAAGUUGAUGCUGACGAUUCUUGAUAGUUUUUUUGGUGUCUCUGGGGAGGGGUGGCUUCCAGAGGUUCCCCCUCCACCAUUUUACUAGUGUCAGGGUUAAUGAUGUUUUGUAAAGAUCUUGCACACCAUUUAUUAGAUAUCGUCCUGGGUUAGAUACUAUAUUAGAUAUUUUCUUGGUAUUUGAUGCAAUUGUAAUUUUUGCUUUUUCUUUUUAAGAGACAGGGUCCUGCUCUACCAUCCAGGCUGGAAUGAAAAGGCACAAUCAUAGCUCACUGCAGCCUCAAACUCCUGGGCUCAAGUGAUUCUCCUGCCCCAGCCUCCUAAGUAGCUGGGACCACAGGCACGUGCCAUCAUGCCUGGCUAAUUUUAUUAAUUUUUUGUAGAGAUGAGAUCUCAUGAUAUUGCUCAGGCUGGUCUUGAACUUCUGGCUUCAAGCAAGCCUCCUGUUUCAGCUUUCAAAGCACAGGGAUUACAAGCAUAGCCACUGUGCCUGGACUGUAUUUUUUAAAAAUCUCAUUUCUUAGGCCGGACACAGUGGCUCACGCCUGUAAUCCCAGCACUUUGGGAGGCCCAGGCAGGUGGAUCACGAGGUCAGGAGUUCAAGACCAGUCAGGAGUCCGAGAUCAGUCUGACCAACAUGGUGAAACCCCGUCUCAUUUUCUUUUUUAAAAUUAAAAAAAAAUCUCAUUCAUUUCUUUUUUCUUUCUUUUUUGCCCACCUGCAACUGUCUUGAUCGAGUUAUAUAAAAAUCUCAUUUUCUAAUUGACCAGUUACUGGCAUAUAAAAAUCUACUUUAAAAAAAUAUUGAUGAGGCCAGGCACAGUGGCUCACACCUGUAAUCCCAGAACUUUGGGAAGCCAAGGCAGGUGGAUCACCUGAGGUCAGGAGUUCAGACCAGCCUGGCCAACAUGACAAGGACUCUGUCUCUUUUUUUUGUUUUUAGAGUCUUGCUCUGUCACCCAGGCUGGAGUGCAGUGGUGCAAUUCUGCUUACUGCAACCUCUCGCUCCUGGGUUCAAGUGAUGCUCGUGCCUCAGCCUCUCGAGUAGCAGGGAUUACAGAUACCCGCCACCACACCUGCCUAAUUUUUGUAUUUUCAGUAGAGACAGGAUUUUAUCAUGUUGGCCAUGCUGGUCUCAAACUCCUGACCUCAGGUGAUCUGCUUGCCUUGGCCUUCCAGAGUGCUGGGAUUACAGGCAUGCGCCACCACGCCCAAACCUGGUCUCCACUAAAAAUACAAAAAUUAGCUAGGCGUUGCUGGUGAGCACCUGUAAUCACUUGGGAGGCUGAGACAGGAGAAUCACUUGAACCUGGGAGGCAGAGGUCUCAGAGAGCCGAAACCACACCACUGAACUCCAUCCUGAGGGACAAGAGCAAAACUCUGUCUCAAAAAAACAAAAAUAAAAAAAUUGAUCAAAAGAUUAUGCUAAAAUUACUUCUUAAUUCUAACAGUUUCUGUGAACUCUUUUGGAUUUUCUGUGUCAUCUCUGAAUAAUGUUAGUUUUACUUUUCCCUUUCUAACCUGUAUAUCUCAUACCUUAUUAGGUUGCUGUUAAGUACCGUUGAUGAGCUGAAUGAAGAAAAUGACGGGUUGAAGCUAAUCAGCCACUAAUGCUGACACUUUGACAGGAUUGUCUUUUUGAGAUGGGUUUUCACUCUGUUGUCCAGGCUGGUCUUUACUUCCUGGGCUCAAGUGAUCCUCCUGACUCAGGUAUGAGCCACUCUGCCUGGCCCUACAAAAGCACUGUUAAAGACUGGACUACUAAGCAUUUCUCCUUUGCAAGGAGUGUGAUGUUGAGCCUUUUCAGUAGAGGGCACAGGAGGGACACUGCAGAAGGAAGGGAGCUUCUCUUCCUAGUUCCAGCAUGCUGCAUUCUGCUUUUAUUGCUCCUGUUCCAUGGCCUAUCAGCAACCUGUGUAUGUCGAUGGUGGGGAUCGUCUAUGACCGCUUCCAUUCAAGCUGUGUGCCCUGAGAUUGAGAGUGCAGCCCCUCAGCUGCACACCAUAAAUAAGCUACCAUGAGGCCCCAGUGUGGGCCCAGAGACCACCCUGCUGCUCCCAAUGCAGAUAUAGCACACUCCAGACUGCACAGCCAGAGUGGUGCCCUCACUGUCUCUGCAAGCCUGUCCACUGGCCUCAGCUCACCUUGCAACCGUCCUGAUGUGGACACCACAGGCUCCAAGCAGCCCAGCUCUCCAUGCACCCUGGGGGUUGUUUCCUGCUUGCCUGCUGAUUGUUGACCAGCUCUGGCCUGGGCGUGUAGCAGACCUUUCUGCCAACCAGUAGGAGAAGCUGUAGCAGCUUCUCCAAUAAAAUCUCAACCAAGGUCCGGACAUGGUGGCUCAUGCCUAUAAUCCCAGCACUUUGGGAGGCCGUGGUGGGUGGAUCACGAGAUGAGGUGUUUGAGACCAGCCAACACGGUGAAACCCCAUCUCUAUUAAAAUACAAAAAUUAGCCAGGUGUGGUGGCACAUGCCUGUAAUCCCAGCUACUCAGGAGGCUGAGGCAGGAGAAUCGCUUGAACCCAGAUGUGGAGGUUGCAGUGAGCCGAGAUCUCACCACUGCAUUCCAGCCUGGGUGACUGAGCGAGACUCCAUCUCAAAAAAAAAAAAAAAAAAACCUCAACCAGGGCCUUGGUAGUGUUCUCCCUCCACUCCACAAUACCCUUUAGAGCUUUCUCACAUCUUUAUACUUACCAUCCUGUCAUCAUUUAAUAAUUCUUUAUAUGAAGCCACUCUCUUUAAGUUACUGGACGGUUUCUAUUAAUUGGACACAGACUGAUAAAAAUAUCAGUCCCAGGAGUGGUCCCAGGAGAUAGACUGAGAAAGGUGAGAAUUGGGCAAUGGUUGGUUUGUGUCCUUGGACUUGAGCACACUGCUAGCCUCCUUGUUCAUGAGAAAAAGGUAUGUAAUGGCAUCACGAUUAGUCAAGUCAUCGUCUGUGUUGGUUCUGAUAGAGUGCCAGUGGAAGCCCACGUCUCAGGAGCCCUUAUGGCUGCCGCCUUGCACCAUUAUGACGGUAAUAAUGACUAUACUAUAGUAUAGUCUCAAGUAUGGGACAGUUAUUUCCAGUGUACUUGAGAGCUCAUAAGAGAAAAAGCUGACAAGCUCAGGUCUGUUAACUCUCAGUUCAAGUCACGGAGUGAGAACCAGAAAGCUUCCAUGACAACCGGCAAAAGAAUCUUGCCAGCAACAGUGACUCAUGCCUGUAAUCCCAGCAAUCAGGAAGCUGAGGCAGGAGCACUGCUUGAGGCCAGGAGUUUAAGACCAGCUUGGGAAACAUAGCUGAAACCGUGUCUCUAAAAAAAAUUUUUCUUGGCCUGGCGCUGUGGCUCACUGCCUGUAAUCCCAGCACUUUGGGAGGCAGAGGUGGGUGGAUCGCCUGAAGUCAGGAGUUCGAGAUUAGCCUGACCAACAUGGUGAAACCCCGCCUCUAUUAAAAAAACAACAACAACACUUUUUUUCUUAAGGAAUCUUUUAUUUCUUGUAGAUCCAGGGCUGAUAUUGCGGAAGACCAAAAAUAAAAUUUAAUUGUGCAGGUUGCUGAAUCAUAAUGACAGUUGAAUUCAACAGUCUUGCCACGUUUUUAAUGUGAAAGUGAGGGCAUUGAUAAGGAAAGAAUGGGAUCCUGAACCUUGCAAUCGAGACAUCUCAAACGAACUAAGACAACUCAAAUGAAUUGAGACAUCCAAAUGCAGCUGGUAAUCUUGAGAUCCAGGAUUACCAGGGGGUAGUUCUGAGCCCCCUGACCGGCAGAAGUAGGUUGCCCUCUGGUGUCUGAGGAUGUUACCUUUCUUCUGUGUGAAAUCAGUGUGACAGCCUUGCUUGAGGCGGAGGCCUUGAGGGAUGGUCAUUCUCCACUAGACCCACCAUAACCAUACCUGUGGCCACCAGGCUCACAAAGUCUUAGCAUGCUCUAGAGGGACAGGAGUACUCUAUGACCUAAGAGGAGACAGCUUAGGCACCAAAAGGAUUGCAAGGCUUUGCUAAUAUAUAUUAGUAGUCACCUGGGGACUAUGCAUGGGAAUGGAUUCUGAGGUUGGUGGAUCAGAGGGCAAAAUAUAGCACAAUAUCAGGCCAAAUCCUUUUACAUGAGUGUGCUUACUAGAAUUCUGAAUGGAAAGUGUUAGCUUGUGUAGCUGAAGGUGAAUCUAACUGCUUAUUUCAUUGGUUGACUGAAACUUGAACUCAAAAUGCAAGUUUCAGGAGGUCUAAUUUAAUGAGGUUAAGAUGCCAGAGCUUUGCUGGUGGGUUGUGGAAGAAGAAAUCCAAGAGCAUAGGGAGAUGGCAGUGUUGGAGUGGAUUGUCCCUAUGUGACUCAUUCCCUAGCUGUAUUCUAGGUGAAGGCCCAACAAGAGACUCCCUUUACUGAGGCAUUAAAAAAUACAUUUGUCAGGGGAGCACCUGUGUCUUUGACAAGUUCUGUAGUUAUUCCCUUUGGUAGGCUGGACUGCAGAAGAUUCCAGCUUUAAGAUGGCCCCUGAUUUCAGUGGGGAUGAUGCUAUUGCAUCGUAGCAGAGGCCAAGUAGAAGCACUUAACCAGUAAAGACAAGGUGGACACAUCAACCGUAAAGGGCAUCAGAGACGUUUCAGUCAUCAAAACACUUUGGCCUGCAGAGAUCUUUGGUGGUAGUUAACUGAUCUAUAUAACAGGAAAACUCUAUGUCUGGAAGCCAAAUACUUGAUUUGAGUCCUAACAGUGGAGAACGGUGGCCUCGCCCUCAGUUUCCAGGCUUAAGUCAGUUCACUGACUCAGAGCCCUGUGCUUGAUGAAUAGGAGCCUACAUUCCCUCGAAGAUCUUGUAAGGACCUUGUAACACUGCUAUAGGAGAACACCUUCAGCCAGGCGAGGUGGCUCACUGCCUGUAAUCCCAGCACACUGGGAGGCCAAGGCGGGUGGAUCAUGAAGUCAGGAGAUUGAGACCAUCCUGGCCAACAUCGUGAAACCCUGUCUCUUCUAAAAAUACAAAACUAGCCAGAUGUGGUGGCAUGUGCCUGUAGUCCCAGCUACUCAGAAGGCCGGGCAGGAGGAUUGCUUGAACCCGGCAGGCAGAGUUUGCAGUGAGCGGAGAUCGUGCCAUGCACCACUGUACUCCAGCCUGGGUGACAGAGGAAGACUCCAUUAAAAAAGAAAGAGAGAGAGAGAAGAAAGAAACAACGAACGAAUGAAAUAAUGAAAGAAAGAAAACACCUUCAUCUUCUUCUAAGCAUUCUGGACAGACAUAGUGGCUCACACCUGUAAUCCCAGCAUUUUGGGAGGCUGAUGUGGGAUGAUCACUUGAACUCAGAAGUUCGAGACCAGCCUGCGCAAAUAGCGAGGCCUCAUCUUUACAAAAACAAUAAACAAAAAAUUAGCAGGUGUGAUGGUGCGUGCCUGUAGUCCCAGCUACUUGAAAGGGCAAGCUAGGACUUCCAUGUGAUGGACAAUAAACAGGAGAUGGGCCAGGUGUUGUGGCUCACUGCCUGUAGUCUCAACACUUUGGGAAGCCAAGGUGGGUGAAUCACCUGAGGUCAGAAGUUUGAGACUAGCCUGGCCAACAUGGUGAAACCCAUCUCCACUAUACAAAAUACAAAAUUUAGCCAGGCAUGGUGGCGAGUGCCUGUAGUCCCAGCUACUCAGGAGGCUGAGGGGCCAUACAAGCCCUAGACUCAGCCAGAGCAGGGCGGAGGACAGAGACAACAGAAUGACCAGCUGCAGAGAGAAGCUACCCUCUCUGCUGAGACCUUCAGAGGCCUGUGGAGACAUCUGAAUGACCUGCCUGUGGAGAGGAGCCACUCUCUCCAAGGCCUCCUCUCUGCUGAGGGCAGCAUAUGACCAUGGGCAGAAAGGAGCUACCCUCUCCAGGGCCUUCUUUGCCGAGAGCUGAGCACUCAACAGAACAAUGUGUCUACAGAGAGGAGCUACCCACUGUUGGUCUCCUCUGAGCUGUUAAAUAAAUAAAGCUCCUCUUGAUCUUCUUCACCCUUCACUAGUCUGUGUACCUGGUAGCAGGAACCCAGGCAAAGGAUCCAAAGGCGCCACCAACCAAAAAGGUUUCCAGGAAGAAAAUCGACACCCCAAAUAUGCUGUAACAUCAUGACAUUUCUUUAGAGAUGGGGUUUCACCACAUUGGCCAGACUGGUCUCAAACUCCUGAUCUUGUGAUCUGCCCGCCUUGGCCUCCCAGAGUGCUGGGAUUACAGGUGUGAGCCACUGCACCUGGCCCAACAUCAUGACAUUUCACCUAAUAGUCUUGAGUACUUGUCUUAUGAAAUUAAAGACAUCUACUUAACCACUAUGUUGUAUCACUAAAAAUAACAAUAAUUCCUUAUACUAUCUAAUACAGUCUAUGUUCACAUUUCUCCAGUUGUCUAAAAGGUGUGUAAGGAUUUGGGUAAAUCUAAGCCAGAGCUGACUGUAUACUGGUUAUUAGUUCAAGUCACCUCCCAUGUCAAAGGAUGGAUUAGUUGGGGUUAUGGUCUUUGAGGCCGGAUACUUCCUCUAAGAACCAUGAAGACCAUAUUCCCUUGUCUUCUAAUUUCUAUAGUAGCUGUUGAGAAGUUUGCCAUCUGUCCAUGAAUUGUUGCUUUGUAGGAAACAUGUUUGCUUUCUCAUUUUUUAACCCAACCUCCAUCUUUGAGUCCUUCAGUUUCUCUAUGUGCCCAGGUGAGAAUCUAGUGUAUCUUGGGACUCAUUUCCUGAAACUAAGAAUUAUUGUCCAAUGUCAGUUCUGGAAGAUGAUGAGUCCUGAUCUCUUCUUCUUAUCUCCUUAUCUCUUCUAAGAGCCUAGAAUAGUGCCUGACACAUAUUAGGUGCUUCUAAACAGCUGAAACAUUCUGUAAAUAUGCAUUUUCUUCACUCAUCCUCUUUCUGUUCUCUCCUGCUCAAACUUUUUCAGAUACAUAUUGGAAUAUCUUAUGCUAUCCAACAUGCCUCGUCAUCUCUUUCACACACUUUUCAUCUCUGUGUCUUUCUAUGCUACAUUUUAGAUAAUUUUGUCAGAUUUAUCUUCUAGUAUCCAUCUCUGUCCGCAGUGAGUUCUUUUCUUUUUUAAGGGGCAGGCAAGGUCUCACUCUGUAACGUAGGCUGGAGUGCAGUGGCACAAUCACGGCUCAUCACAGCCUUGAACUCCCAUGCUCAAGCGACCCUCCCACCACAGCCUUCCAAGUAGCUGCAACUACAGGCACACACCAACACAUCCAGCUAAUUUUUAAAUUUUUUGUAGAAACAAAGUCUUGCUACAUUGCCCAGACUGGUCUCAAACUCCCAGGCUCAAGUGAUCCUUCUGCCUUGGCCUUUCAAAGUACUGGGAUUACAGGCUGGUAUCCUUGGUGAAUGGUUUAUCUCUAUUCUUUUUUUUUUCUACAUAGGGCUUCCAUGUGAUGGACAAUAAACAACAGAUAGGCUGGGUACAGUGGCUCAUGUCUGUAAUUCCAGCACUUUGGGAGGCCAAGCCAUUUGGAGAAGUAAGUCUGCGGCUCUCUAGCAAUCCUGGAUUUUAUGGAUAUUAUCUCCCCCAUCUCAGAGGGUUUCAAGGCCCAUAAACCUGCUCCUCCCACAGCUUGCGGUUCCGGGGGUGGAUGAACUGCUCUGUGUCCCAGCCUACUCUCCGCUGUUGAGGAUCGGUGUCCCGGGAUCUUUGGUUACGGAGGGUACAGGGUUUCACCACGUUGGUCAGGCUGGUCUUGAACUCCCGACCUCAGGUGAUCCGCCCGCCUUGGCGUCCAAAGUGCUUGGAUUACAGGUAUGAACUACCACGUCUGGCUGCUCUCCUCUCUCACCAUGUGAGACACCUGCUUCCCUUUGCCUUCUACCAUGAUUGCAAGCUUCCUGAGGCCUUCACAAGGAACAGAUGCUGGUGUCAUACUUCCUGUACAGCCUGCAGAACCAUGAGCCAAUGAAACUCUUUUUUUAUGAAUUACCCAGUGUCAGGCAUUUCUUCAUAGCAAUGCAAAUGGAGUAACACAAGGACUCUGGUUCCCCAGGAUGCAGACCCUGAGACAAAGGUUAGAGGACACACACUUGAAUGUGUGUGUGUGGGGGGGGUGCCCACGGCAAACACCAGCAGAGGAAUGGAGAAGUGACACGGGAGGGAAGGAUGCCAAGAAUGGAGACGUCAUGGAACCAGUCACCACUGUGAGCAGUUAUAGCCCUCUGGAGAGCUCAGAGAGCCAGGCUAGAGUAUGCCUCAGAGUUGACCCACGCCAGCUGCCAGGCAGCAAGGGGUUUGUUGUUUUAUUGAUUAAUUAUUUUGAGACAAGGUCUUGCUCUGUCAUCCAGGCUGCAGUGCAGAGGCACAAUCAUGGCUCACUGUAGUCUCAACUUCCUGGGCUCAGGUGAUCCUCCUGCCUCAGCCUCCCAGGGAGCUGGGACUAUAGGUGCAUGCCACCAUGCCCAGAUAAUUUUUUACUUUUUUUUUUCUUUCAGCUGGAGUUUCGCUCUGUUGCCCAAGCUGGAGGGAAUGGCACAAUCUCGGCUCACUGCAACUUCCACCUCCCAGGAACAAACCAUUCUCCUGCCUCAACCUCCCAAGUAGUUGGGAGUACAGGCGUGUGCCACAAUGCCCAGCUAAUUCUUUGUAUUUUUAGUAGAAACAGGGUUUCAACAUGUUAGCCAGGCUGGUCUUGAACUCUUAACCUCAGUUGAUCCGCCCUCCUUGGCCUCCCAAAGUGCUGAGAUUACAAGCAUGAGCCACUGCGCCCGGCCCAAUUUUUUACUUUUUGUAGAGACGUGGUCUCAUUAUGUUUCUCAGGCUGGUCUCAAACUCCUGGGCAUAAGCAAUCCUCCUGCCUCAACCUCUCAAAGUGCUGGGAUUACAGCAGUGAGCCACCUUGCACCCAACCUCUUUUUUUUAAGAGAUAAGAUCUUUUGGCCAGGCACAGUGGCUCACGCCUGUAAUCCUAGCACUUUGGGAGGCUAAGGCGGGCAGAUUGCCUGAGGUCAGGAGUUUGAGAUCAGCCUGACCAGCAUGGAGAAACCCCGUCUCUACUAAAAAUACGAAACUAUUGGGGCAUGGUGGCACAUGCCUGUAAUCCCAGCUACUUGGGAGGCUGAGGCAGGAGAAUCACUUGAUCCUGGGAGGUGGAGGUUGCAGUCAGCUGAGAUCACGCCAUUGCACUGCAGCCUGGGCAACAAGAGCCAUACUACAUCUCAAAAAAAAAAAGAGAGACUGACACUUAAAAAAAAUUCUUGCUCUAUUACCUAGGCCUGAGUGUAGUGGCAGGAUCAUAGCUCACUGCAGCCUUGAACUCCUGGGCACAAGUGAUCCUCCCACCUCAGCCUCCCGAGUCACUAGGAUGACAGAUGCAUGCCACCAUGCCCAGAAGGGUGUUUUUUCAUCAACUGCUGGUCGGUCAUUGCUUGAAGGCUGCUGCUUUAACUCUCUGGACCUCCGGCCUGCCCUGUGACCAUGACCAGCCAUCCUCCCACAGACUGAAAAAAGGCAGAGAGUUGCCCAAGAGCUCAGUAAACAGUCUUCAUAGGUAGGGAGGAAAGCUGAGGGAUGCAGGCAGACACCCAGGGCAACUGCUGCAACUUUCUCCCGUUCCUGUAGCCUUCCUGCCAACAGGCCACUUCGAGGACGCUGCAGUCCCCUCCCUCACAGGUGACUGUUUUUGCUGUCAUCUUUCCGUGUGUUCAUAUAAGCAUGUAGGUGUGUAUUUGGACCGGGUUUCACAGUCACAAGGAAUGUUCAACUGGUAAAAAGGUGAAUGGGGGCUGGCCAUGGUGGCUCACACCUGUAAUCAAUCCCAGCACUUUGGGAGACCAAGGCUGGUAGAUCAAUUGAUGUCAGGAGUUCAAGACCAGCCUAGCCAACAUAGUAAAAAGCGGUCUCUACUAAAACUACAAAACUUAGCCAGGCGUGGUGGCACACGCCUGUAAUCUCAGCUACUGGGGAGGCGGAGGCAGGAGAAUCGCUUGAACCCAGGAGACAGGGAUUGCAGUGAGCCAAGAUUGCGCCACUGCACUCCAGCCUGGGCAAUAAUGAGACUCCGCAUCAGAAAAAAAAAAAUGGGGCAGACAGGAAAACAUCUCCCUCCAUUAGCCCCAGACAUUCCCUCCCCUCCAGAGGCAACCCUGUUACCAGCCUCGCCCUCACAUGCCCUCCUCUUGCCGGUCAGUCUUUCCAGUGUUGACUCCAGCCCUAGCCACAUCUAAGGCCUCAGUUCCCUGAAGCUGGGAGCCCUGGUCACGGCUCAUCCUGUCUUCAUCCGGCUCCAGCCCUGCUCAGCCAGUAGGCCAGGGUUAGGAGUUCAGGCCUUGGAGAUGUGGGGUGCCAGAGGUUGAGGGCAGGGCCUGGUUAAAGGCCAGCAUGGGCACAGAGGCAAACAUCAGGGAAACCUUGGUCCUGGCCAACGGUAGGGCCUGGGGUGGGACGUGCUGCCAGUGGCUCAUCUGUCUGGUGUGUGGCUGCUCACGGCCAUCAGGGUUAGCCAAGGGCUUCCUGUUUAUACCCUGGGGGCUGGAGGAAUGAUGAGCAGCCCGCCUCACUCCCUCAAUCCAUUUUCAGAGCCCAGUGAGCCAUCGCCCAGCUUUGGGUCUAGUCCAGGAGAGGUUCACCCUAGGAGCUAUGGUAGGCAGGGACUAAGGAAAGAACCAGGAAGGGCUCUGAGGCAAUGUUCCGCUUACUACAGCCAGCCCUCUGUAUCUGCGCCUCCACGUCCGCAGAUGCAACCAACCUCAGUUUGGAAAUAUCUGGAAAAAAAGCUGGGCACGGUGGUUCACGCCUGUAAUCCCAGCACUUUGGGAGGCUGAGGCAGGCGGAUCAAAAGGUCAGGAGAUCGAGAUCAUCCUGGCCAACAUGGUGAAACCCUGUCUCUACUAAAAAUACAACAAUUAGCUGGGCGUGGUGGCUUGUGCCUAUAAUCCUACCUACUCUGGAACUGAGGCAGGAGAAUCGCUUGAACCAGGGAGUUGGAGGUUUCAGUGAGCCAAGAUUGCGCCAUUGCACUCCAGCCUGGCAACCAUGUGGAUUUCAUCUCCCAGCCUGAUUCUAAGUUUGUUGAAGACUCAUCUUGGUAUCUCUGUCUUGGUUUGGGUUCCCCAGGAUGCAGGCCCUGAGCAUGGUAGCUCACACCUAUAAUCCUAGCACUUUGGGAGACUAAGGUGGGUGGAUCACCUGAGGUCAGGAGUUCGAGACCAGCCUGGCCAACAUAGGGAAACCCCAUCUCUACUAAAAAUACAAAAAUUAGCUGGGCAUGGUGGUGUGCACCUGUAAUCCCAGCUACUCAGGAGCCUGAGGCAGGAGAAUCGCUUCAACCCAGGAGGUGGAGGUUGCAGCGAGCAGAGAUCAUGCCACUGCACUCCAGCCUGGGCGACAGAGUGAGAUUCUG